rnacentral:sRNA from 1 species
UAUCACAUCUCUCUUUCUCUCUCUUCUCUCUCUAAA